GCGAGGGCCUUGGUCUGGUAGGGAAGAGACACAGCGGCCCUCUCUAGCCUCCCAAGUGUUUCCUGAUUUUCUUCCAAGGUGGGAUCCUUCGCUCCCCCGGGGGAGCGACGCCGGAGAAGAGCAAGAAUUUCUGAAAUCCAGGUCGGCCUGGGCGAUAAUAGGCACCUUCGCAGCCGCCAGCGGAACCGCCCGGCCCUAAAUCACCAGCAGCGGCUCCUCCUCCGCGGCGUGCGGGAGCUGCGGAGCUCAGGGCAGAGGCGGUUCCACGGUCCAGCGCCUCAGGUGCUGCGGAAGCGCUUUGAAGAUCCCUGCGAUCCUUAAGGAUCCCUACGUGCUCGUCCAGGAGCCAAUGAUCAAGAAAGCGCGAUCCCAGAGCUAUUGAUGUGCAGCUGUGGUCUCUUCUUUUCCUUUCUCUACCCCCCAUCUCGGCCUCCCCCCCACCCCUCUUCCUUUUUUUUUUUUUUUCUUUUUUCGGAGACAGUCAGGGUUGCCCUGGCUGGCUACAAGAUACUCUGUCUCGGUUUACUGGACUGCGGAAUUAUAGGUGCAAGUCAUGUUUUUAUGCAAGAUAAAUUGGUGUGGUCGUGACAAAGUCUCGUUGUGUAGCCCUAGCUGACCUGAAACAUGCUAUGUGGACCAAACUGGUUUCAGACGUGCAGCAAUUCUCCUGCCUCUGAUUUCGGGGUGUUGGGAUUACAGAUGUGCUUCACCACACCUGGCUAUGAAAGUUAAAUGUCUUCAGCCUCCCUUGGAGCUGGAAUCACAGGCAGAGCUGAGGCUUGAUAAGGGGCCCUAAAGGUUCUCCCAGCAUGAAUCCAGGCGUGCUCAGCUCUGAGACGGUGUCCAGGAGACCAAAGGGAACCUCCUGAGGGGAAGGCUCUGGGAUUG
rnacentral:lncRNA from 1 species